rnacentral:lncRNA from 1 species
AAGUUAUGGAAAUUUGCACAGGGACCAUAUUGGAAUUUGGUGGAGUUGGAGUAAACAUACUUAAUUUUUGUUUGGCAUUUUUCAGAUAUUAUAAGGUACAGGGAACUACCUGUGGAUCCUCUCCCCCAGGUGAAAUUCUCCAAGUUGUCAUGGUGACACACUUGAUCUUAGUCAUAAGGCCGAGAAACGGCUGUCAUCAUGAUACAUGGCUGGGAUCAUAAAAAGAAUCAGAGUCUUGGAAGACAAUAGGGCAUUUCUAUGAUAAUCUUUGAGAUGAUUCCUGCAUUUUUCUUCAUCCAGCUUGGAGACAGAAUGGGGUAGGAAGAGGGCAUACAUUUCAGACUGCUUGGCAAACGAUAUGUAAAUCCUAAGAACAACACAAAAGCUGCUGGAAGCCAUCAGGAAGCCAAAAGCCAUGAAAGAAGCAAGAAGGAGAUCUUUGACAAUAUAGGAGAGAAGAAGUACAAUACCACCUCUUCUUACCACCUUUACUCCCUUAAUCGAUAAUUGAUUAAUGUGCCAAAAUGAUACUGUUAUUGACACCAUUAAUUGUGUUACAUGUAGCCUAUAAAAGCUCUCAAUUGCUCCCCUCACUGCCUACUUCACAAUAUAAGGUUUUGAAAUGGAAUCUAUUAUUUUUGCCACCAGAAUGGGAGAACCAUCCAUUCUCCACCUCUUAUAACACGUGUUCUGUGGGAGCUCCAUCUCCCAGCUCAGAUGUGAAGGGAAUCAAAGUAUG